CAGGAAGAAUUGCUGUUGCAGCAACCAAUAUUCCUAAUAGAGAAACAAUACCCAGAGGGAUGAAGAGAUUUGCUAGGGUCACAAGUUCAUAGCACCAGAGGAAAAAGAACAUCAUGAGAGCAAACUUGGACAUGGAGCCUCCAACAUGUGUCAAGUCUUCAGUGAACUGAAUGAUUCAUGAGAGGCCCUGAGGAAGAAUCAUCUAGCCUGGCUCCUCAUGGGUACCUGACACUAUGAGAUAUUUCAUGUUUUUUCAAGUUGUGCAUUUAUUUGGGGGCAAUUAAUUCUGCAUCACCAGACAUGUGACAAGACCAUUCAUCCCCCUCUUAGUCGUUAUGUCCAAGGGAGAGAAUGUGGACAGACAUGUCAGAAGACAACCUGCAGGCUCUCACUGAAAUGACUAAGAGACAAUGAUGGCCACCACUGUUGCUCUGUCCUUCAUGCCUAAGACCCUGUUGCAUCUUCCUACCUGCUGAGGUGAGCCUCAUUGUUGACUGCCUACUGUGAAGGAUCCCAGGACCAGACACUAGUCAAUGCUGAGUCAAUCCAGGAGUAUGAUCCUGACCAGCUGAAUGGUGUCUGUCCUCUCCAUCAUCACAGCUUUGGAACCUGCUGACCCAUACCCAGACUGGCUGUGAGGACACACUGAUGUAACAGCUGAGGAACCAUACAGCCUUCCUGGUGGUGUGAAGGAUGCCUUUGUUAUCAAACUGUUUGAGUUCUUCAGAAUUCUACGUACAGAAUCCUGAGCUGCAGACAUUUCUUCCCAUCCUGGGGGUUGUCUCCUCACACUCACAGUACUGGGGAACCAAAACUUCACAUAUAUAAGCCAAUCCAGCAUUCCACCACUAAGCUAACUCCAAAGCCCUCUUCUCUUUCUCCUUGAAUUUUUACUUUAUGUGGUUCCAUGUGUUUGUGAAUGUGUAUGUGUACAUCCAUGUGCACAUCCACGUGAAGGUCAGAAGUCAACUUCAACUGUCAUUCCUCUUCCAUCUUGGUUUUAGGAUAAGGUCUCUCCAUAGGCUUGCAAUUCAUUGAAUUGUCAAGGUUGGCUCUCCCAGGAGUCCCAGGAACCAACCUGUCUCCACCCCAGAGCUGGGAUCACAAGUUCAUGUCAUCAUAGUUGGCUUUUUUACUUCAGGGAAUAAAUUCAGAUCCUCAUGCA